rnacentral:rRNA from 1 species
AGCUAAUAGAUACCCGGGUAGUCCACGCCCUAAACGAUGUCUACUAGUUGUUGGUGGAGUAAAACUCCAUGAGUAAACGCAGCUAAACGCGUGAAGUAGACCGCCUGGGGAGUACGGUCGCAAGAUUAAAAACCUCAAAGGAAUUGACGGGGGUCCCGCACAAGCGGUGGAUUAUGUGGAUUAAAUUCGAUGCAACGCGAAAAACCCUUACCUGGCCUUGACAUGCCACUAACCGAAGCAGAGAUGCAUUAGGUGCCCGUAAGGGAAACGUGGACACAGGUGCUGCAUGGCUGUCGUCAGCUCGUGUCGUGAGAUGUU